GAUGAACGCUGGCGGCGUGCCUAAUACAUGCAAGUCGAGCGAACAGAUGAGGAGCUUGCUCCUCUGACGUUAGCGGCGGACGGGUGAGUAACACGUGGAUAACCUACCUAUAAGACUGGGAUAACUUCGGAAACCGGAGCUAAUACCGGAUAAUAUAUUGAACCGCAUGGUUCAAUAGUGAAAGACGGUUUUGCUGUCACUUAUAGAUGGAUCCGCGCCGCAUUAGCUAGUUGGUAAGGUAACGGCUUACCAAGGCAACGAUGCGUAGCCGACCUGAGAGGGUGAUCGGCCACACUGGAACUGAGACACGGUCCAGACUCCUACGGGAGGCAGCAGUAGGGAAUCUUCCGCAAUGGGCGAAAGCCUGACGGAGCAACGCCGCGUGAGUGAUGAAGGUCUUCGGAUCGUAAAACUCUGUUAUUAGGGAAGAACAAAUGUGUAAGUAACUAUGCACGUCUUGACGGUACCUAAUCAGAAAGCCACGGCUAACUACGUG
rnacentral:rRNA from 1 species